UUUCAGUAGUACGCGAUAGGGUGUAGGGUGCACUAGUGAGGGCGCUUGCGUUUUUCACUGCUCCGACUCAGUUGAGUACUCCAGUUUCAUCUCAAUUAUUUUUAUCUUCAGUCUUCACAGCGACUGGCGGAUGUAUAAACGAAAUUAUGACUUGUGUAUCAUUGCUUCUGUGGACCAUUAGUUCCCAGCCUUUUAAUAUAAACGGCGCCGGCUUUGCUGUGCUCCGAAUAAGUAGCCUUUGCCGUUCCGUGCUCGCACGGGGAAUCCUGUGAAUUAUGAACGUUGUUUUGGAAUUGUCAGAGAAUAUUUUGAUGACUGGAAUGGCGCUCAAUGCCACUCGACUUCAGGAUGAAGUCGUGUAAGACUCAGGGACUGUUAGACUGACUUGAUUUCAAGCUGUUAUGGGAACUAUUCAAAGGUGGAUGGCUAUCGAUCGCAUACUCAGUUCACCAACUCAGCUGGAACGGAUAUGGCUUCGCUGGGAUGCCCAAGGAAAAGAGUUGCUAGUAUUCUCUGCACCUGCCCCCAAGAUUGUCAACGCAGGCGCUUAGCACCGCCGUUGGGGGUGGUCCGGCAAGAAGGGGUCCAGGGGUGAAGUUCGGGUGCAAAUUCCCGCAUUCUGUGCACUUUUGGCCGUGAACAGGCGAAAAAGUUCUACGAAAUGCUGCAAACUGAGCUGUUGUGAGUUGAAGCAAGAGAUGGCAUCGAAUUUAUACAGGUAAUCCCAUUGCAAGACCAGUGUCUGCAUAUACUCAUAGCCAGCUGCUACCAGUCAUGUGAUGAGAUUAGUUCGCCUUCUACGCUACGUCUGAGUCGUGUGCAGAAAGUGUCAGACGCCAGCAGUGUACCACUUUGCUAUGCGACCAUAAACAUUGCAGAGAAAGGCUACCAGAAUGUCCCUGUUCACCCAUCUUCUACAGCCACCAUCGCUAUUCUCUGUGGUGUGGGCCAAUGCUCUCCCACGGGAGCUAACUUGAGCAUCACUCUCCAGCACGUAAAACAGAGACUGGUUACCGUGGUAGCAAACACCACUUACUACGCGGAACACAAUGUCCAGAAAACGAUCGCGGAUCCUGAUUGACUACAGUAUCUAAACCCGAUACACUGAAACGCAUUCCAUCACGUACAUCACACGGCCAACGUUGUGUAUCUCCGAUCACAAGAUGCGUGUGCUGCUGGCCUAGACCAUCUAGAGGAGCUUUCCGAAACCCAGAUGUCAUGCUCGACCGUAUCCUCAUCGGCUAUCUUCACAACCUAGUGAGGGAUGUCGGUGUCGGUGGCUAACGCGACCGUGACGUAUCUAUCCAGGCUUUCAACAAGCACUGCUACACUAGCAGGCAAAUUGCCAGUGCCAGAAAGGAAGACAUGCUGUGCCCUAUAUUGUUGUGCCUUAGCCCACAGCAAGGUGCAAAUCUACAGCCGAAUAAGGCAAACCAUCACAAGAUGCUGACGUGCUUGACCCAAUACUCACCACAUAGGUAAACUGUGAGAUAAACUGCGCAAUGUGUCACGUUAACUUGACCUGCAGCAUGAAUUGUUCUACUGUAUAAGUCUCUGCAUCUUCUUCAGCAUCACACAAUAUCUAUGACGCAGUCAGCUAGCGCGCCCAAUUGUAAGAUGUGCAUCAGUGGGGUCCGACAUGUACCACUAUUGUACUAGUGUAUCUAAUAUGUAGCUGUAAAGCGCCAGAGCUAUUUUAUCCUGGAAAUGCCCAGUUGUGUGUAGAGAUUUUUGAACCAGUGGUCGAACAAUGCCUGCAGUGUGUUGCCUACAAUGUGGCUGAAAGGUGUCAGAGCAUUUUAUCGAGGAAGUACCCAGGUGUGUGCAUAGAUAGCUGCGGCAGUGGCCGUACAAUGACAGCAUAAACCAUCUCAUGUUUGGGUUGGAUGUUCGUGAUUUUCUCUCCUCUCUCUCCUAUCCGGUUGUUUUACGAUUCAUGUGCCACCUUGUGAAAGAAUGACCUGGAAA